rnacentral:lncRNA from 1 species
CCCUAGCUUCACGGGAUGCUUAUUCCUCGCCUCAUUAUCGUCAAACUUAGCUUUAAGCCCUCGUCUAUCCGAGACCAGCUUAUAAGACUCCGAUCGUUCGACACUUCGCCAGAUGUUUAUCCCUGGCUUCGCGAGAUGCUUAUUCCCCACCUCAUUAUCGUCGAGCUUAACUUUAAGCCCUCGUCUAUCCGAGGCCAGCUUAUAAGACUUCAAUCGUUCGACACUUCGUCAGAUGUUUAUCCCUGGCUUCGCAAGAUGCUUAUUCCCCCACCUCAUUAUCAUCGAGCCUAGUUUUAAGUCCUCGUCUAUCUGAGGCUAGCAUAUAAGUCCCCGAGAGUUCGAAGUUCGCCAGAUGUUUAUCCCUGGCUUCACGAGAUGUCUUUUCCUCGCCUCACUAUCGUCGAGCUUAGCUCUAAGUUCUUGGCUAUCCGAGGCUAGCUUGUAAGACUCCGAUAGUUUGACAGUUCAUAAGAGAUUUAUUCGUGGCUCCACAAGAUGAGUAUCACUCGCUUCAAUAUCGUCGAGCCUAACUCUAAGUCCUUGUCUAUCUGAGGCCAGCUUAUAAGACUCCGAUAGUUCAACAGUUCGUCAGAUGUUUGUUCCCUGGCUUCGCAAGAUGUCUUCCUCACUUCUCACCAUCGUCGAGCCUGACUCUAAGUCAUCGUCAUUCCGAGGCAAGUCACUAAGCCUCCAAUAGUUUGAGACUUAUUCGUGGGAUGUCUAUU